GUUAAAACAAUGACUUUAUUCAGAGGAGUAGUGGGGGAUUCUGCAUCUCUGCAUAUUAUUGGGGUGGGCUUCGAAGUAGUUCAAGGGCAGCACCGAAUCCCCCACGUAAAAAUAGAAAUAAGCUUCUCCUCAGUGUUGUUUCUCUAUGGGUGGGGCAGUGAAAAUUCAUGGGAGGAAAAGAGGCGGCUCAGACUCAGCAGCCAUCCUAGCAGGCCAGGGCCGGUUUGAGCCGGUUGAGACUGGUUGAGACUGAGCUGGAAUGAGACAUCAACUGUUGUUUAGGCUGAGGUUCUGCCGCACCAAAGCUGACUGGAAUCUCUGGACUGGAUCACUCCCAGAAGAUCCAGGAGCUGCAAUCCCUGCUAGAAUAUGCUACUAGAGCCAGAGCUCAGAGCAAAUGCCAGUAGCAGCAGGGCUGCAUGGAAGCUGUGGACAGGCUUUAUGCCUGGAGAUGGAGUUUUUGCCUGCAGGAAGGGCAGCCAGAGCUGCUCCAGCUCAGAAUCCAACCUGGGUUUUGUUUCUCUCCGUCUUCCAGCUAGAACUGGUUUAGGGGGAAAAGAGGCCUCUCAAGUAUCGGUUUUCAGGGAGAGCAGCUGGUGUGGAACCAAAGUGUGGGGGAGGGGUGCCAGCUUGUCUGUGAGCACAGAGUGAAUGUGGGAAAGGUGGGGGGGAGGGGAGCAUUUUCCUUUUGUCUCUCACACGCAUUCACAAUAGAAAUGUGCUGUACAGACACCAAAAGGAGAGACCCGGCCACAAAUACAUUUCACAGAAAACCCCACCUUCACAUAUAGUCAUGUGUGAACAACAUACAGGCUGCACAGCUCCCAUAGCUUCACAUAAAAACAAAGUAAUGAGGUUAAACAUCAGUGUGUGAUAUCCCCCCCCCCCAAGCACUGAGGCAGGCAGAAUGCCCAUGUGCAGAACAAAGGUCAUAUUGCAUCAUGCACAAGAAAUGUGUGUGCAAUACCAGAAUUAAAAGCAUAUCUUUAUAGCUCCACCGACACAAAUAUAUGGACAACACAAAAUAUACAUACCUUAGAGUGAUGCAUGUGCUUCUUGAUAAAAAUACUAAUAUAACUUUAAAAACACUGCAAAGUACAUUAGUGUUAAUUAUCUAGAAAGUUAAGGGUCUAUUAUUUUUAUUCUUCAAUUGUUCAUUUGUGUAAAUAUAAUGUAAAUAUUCUGUUCUAAAGACAAGUUUCUGCUUGUAAACUAUCCUUUAUAUAUUGUAAAAUAAUACAUGUGAUUCACUGGUAUGGGAAGAUGCUUGUUCUGUCUAGCCCAUUCUUAACAAAAUCAAAAUCUUUCCUCAGACUGUGC
rnacentral:lncRNA from 1 species